AUCCAUCCAUCCAUCCAUCCAGUCUUUAUCAAGACUCUCCUGUGUAAACAGUGAUACAAAUAAAAGGACAGAACAUGGCGAGACACUUAAUUUCCUCCCUUCUUUCGACUCAAAUAUCUAUCCACCCAGUUAUCCAUCCAUCCAUCCAUCCAUCCAUCCAUCCAUCCAUCCAUCCAGUCUUUAUCAAGACUCUCCUGUGUAAACAGUGAUACAAAUAAAAGGACAGAACAUGGCGAGACACUUAAUUUCCUCCCUUUUUUUGACUCAAAUAUCUAUCCACCCAGUUAUCCAUCCAUCCAUCCAUCCGUCCAUCCAUCCAGUCUUUAUCAAGAGUCUCCUGUGUAAACAGUGAUGCAAAUAAAUGGACAGAACAUGGGGAGAGACUUAAUUUUCUACCUUCUUUCUACUCAAAUAUCUAUCCACCAGUUAGCCCUCCAUUCAUCCAUCCAUCCAUCCAUCCAUCCAGUCUUUAUCAAGACUCUCCUGUGUAAACAGUGAUACAAAUACAAGGACAGAACAUGGCGAGACACUUAAUUUCCUCCCUUCUUUCGACUCAAAUAUCUAUCCACCCAGUUAUCCAUCCAUCCAUCCAGUCUUUAUCAAGAGUCUCCUGUGUAAACAGUGAUGCAAAUAAAUGGACAGAACAUGGGGAGAGACUUAAUUUUCUACCUUCUUUCUACUCAAAUAUCUAUCCACCAGUUAGCCCUCCAUUCAUCCAUCCAUCCAUCCAUCCAUCCAUCCAUCCAGUCUUUAUCAAGAGUCUCCUGUGUAAACAGUGAUGCAAAUAAAUGGACAGAACAUGGGGAGAGACUUAAUUUU
rnacentral:lncRNA from 1 species